CAGCAGCCGCGGUAACACCAGCACCUCGAGUGGUCAGGAGGUUUAUUGGGCCUAAAGCAUCCGUAGCCGGUUGCAUAAGUUUUCGGUUAAAUCUAUGCGCUUAACGUAUAGGCCGCCGAAAAUACUGUGCAGCUAGGGAGUGGGAGAGGUACACGGUACUCGAUAGGAAGGGGUAAAAUCCUUUGAUCUAUUGAUGACCACCUGUGGCGAAGGCGGUGUACCAGAACACGUUCGACGGUGAGGGAUGAAAGCUGGGGGAGCAAACCGGAUUAGAUACCCCCGUAGUCCCUGUCUCUUAUAC
rnacentral:rRNA from 1 species